CCUAUAGCAUAGAAAUAAUGCACUGGAUCCCAUUAGAAGUCUGCAGUUAAGAGCAUUCAUGCUAGAGUAGUACUAGGAUGGGUGACCACUCGAGAAGUCUUAGUAUUUUAUAUGC
rnacentral:rRNA from 1 species